rnacentral:rRNA from 1 species
AUAUCAAUAAGCGGAGGAAAAGAAACCAACAGGGAUUGCCCUAGUAACGGCGAGUGAAGCGGCAACAGCUCAAAUUUGAAAUCUGGCCCCUUCGGGGUCCGAGUUGUAAUUUGCAGAGGAUGCUUCGGCGUCGGCCCCGGGUCAAGUCCCCUGGAACGGGGCGUCCUAGAGGGUGAGAACCCCGUACUCACCUGGGUGUCCGUCGCCGUGUGAAGCUCCUUCGACGAGUCGAGUUGUUUGGGAAUGCAGCUCUAAGCGGGAGGUAAAUUUCUUCUAAAGCUAAAUACCGGCCAGAGACCGAUAGCGCACAAGUAGAGUGAUCGAAAGAUGAAAAGCACUUUGGAAAGAGAGUUAAAAAGCACGUGAAAUUGUUGAAAGGGAAGCUCUUGCCGCCAGACUUGCCGCGGUUGCUCAGCCGUCCCCCGGGGCGGUGUACUCUUCCGUCGGCAGGCCAGCGUCGGUUCGGGCGGCCGGAUAAAGGCCCUGGGAAUGUAGCACCCUUCGGGGUGUGUUAUAGCCCGGGGUGCAAUGCGGCCAGCCCGGUCCGAGGCACGCGUUCGCGAGGACGCUGGCGUAAUGGCUGCAAGCGACCCGUCUUGAAACACGGACCAAGGAGUCUAACAUCUGUGCGAGUGUUUGGGUGUCAAACCCAUACGCGUAAUGAAAGUGAACGGAGGUGGGAACCCCCUCGAGGGGCGCACCAUCGACCGAUCCUGAUGUCUUCGGAUGGAUUUGAGUAAGAGCAUAGCUGUUGGGACCCGAAAGAUGGUGAACUAUUCCCGGAUAGGGUGAAGCCAGAGGAAACUCUGGUGGAGGCUCGCAGCGGUUCUGACGUGCAAAUCGAUCGUCAAAUCUAGGAAUAGGGGCGAAAGACUAAUCGAACCAU